rnacentral:SRP_RNA from 1 species
GCCGGGCACGGUGGCGCGAGCCUGUAACCCAAGUCACUCAGAGGCUGAGAUUGGCCCUCUAUGUCGAACGGGUGUCCGCACUAAAUUCAGUAUAGAUAUAGUACUCAUGUGGGAGCCCGGGCCCACCAGGUCGUCUACGGAGGGAAGCACUGGCCCAGGUCGGAAAAGAAGCAGCUCAAAUCCCCGGGGCCGUCCAGUAGUGGGAUAACGCCUGUGAGUAGACUCUGCAGUGCAUCAUU